CGUUAUGCUCUUUUCUACACAUACACAAGGAUGAUAGAAAGUGAAGACGUAAUGGAGUGUUCCUGAGCGUCCUUGCAAUGAAAAUCACUUUAGCAUUCGACAGUAUUCGUGGACGGGAGUUGCAAUGAAGGCGGGGGCCUCCUCCAUGUGGGCAUCAUGUUGCGGGCUGCUGAACGAGGUGAUGGGCACAGGGGCGGUCCGCACCCAGCAGCCAGGCUUUGGAGCCGGAGCUGGGCCGUUCCGCUUCGCCCCCAGCGCGGGUUACUCCACCUACCCACCCAGCAGCACCACCUCAGGAAGCGCAGGCCUGGCAUGCAAAGCCUGCGGACUGGCCUUCUCCGUGUUCAGACGAAAGCACGUUUGCUCGGACUGCAAGAAGAGCUUCUGCUCGCUGUGUUCCGUGCUGCAAGAGAACCUGCGGCGCUGCGCCACCUGCCACCUGCUGUGGGGCACGGCCUUCCAGCGGCCCAGGUUAAUGCGACUCCGCGUUAAAGACCUGCGGCAGUAUCUCACGCUGCGAAACAUCAACACGGACACCUGCAGGGAGAAGGAGGACCUGGUGGACCUGGUGCUCUGCCAUCUGGGUGCCGAGCUGGAGAUGGGGGAGGAUGAAGAGGAGGAGGAAGAAGAGGAGGCGGAAGCGGACACGGACAGUCUGCCCUCACUUCCGCGUUCCCUCUCCACGCCGCCCGCCUCCGCGGCACGAUCCUCCUCCCAGCAGUCAGCGCUGUCUGUAGCAGCGUCUCAGGGAGAGGCUCUCAGUCGCAGCGAUAGCUCAGGGACAACCAAUCAGGACCAUGGAGAUGCUGCAUCAGUUUCCCUCCUCAACCUGGAGCCUCAUGACGACAUACUGGAGGCCAGCCCAGCGACGCAGAGGCGUGCACGUGCCUCCCUCUCGGAUUUGUCCCGCGAGGACGACAUCGAGAGCCUGACGGUGCGGCAGCUAAAGGAGAUUCUCGCCCGCAACUUCGUCAACUAUUCAGGUUGCUGUGAGAAAUGGGAGCUGGUGGAGCGUGUCCAUCGUCUCUACAGAGAGAACGAAGUCAACAGAAGAUCGAUGGAAAAUGUCAGCAACAGCCUAGCUGCAGUCAUAGCUUACCCUCCUCCUAUAUGCAAUGGAGGUAUUGGAGAUGGUGUGCAGGUAGCUCAGCUGGGCGGCGUUGAUGAGAACCUGUGCCGUAUCUGCAUGGAUGCCGUGAUAGACUGCGUGCUGCUAGAAUGCGGUCACAUGGUCACCUGCACCAAGUGCGGCAAGAGGAUGAGCGAGUGCCCCAUCUGCAGGCAGUACGUGGUGCGGGCUGUGCACGUCUUCAAGUCCUAACGGUUGCAAACGGUGAAAUGCUAGUCGGCGCCCUCUAAUGGCUGCUAGGUGCGACGCAGUCAGGAAUACGUUACACUCAGUGAGACGCAAGCGGAUGGAAAUAACUUUUUAUUCACGGCACAAUACACGGAUAUGGUUGCUGGUUAUCCUGGAGAACGGAUUUUCUAAGAGCUUAACGGACAUGAUCAAUGACCAAAAAUCGUUGUUGUAUUGAAAAGAGCUUGAUAAAGAUUCUUUAGAAUUUCUUCUGUCUUUGGAACGACAUUAAGUUCAGUCACCUGAAGGGAUGAAGAACGUGUAGCCCUGUUUCAGCUCUACUCGCUGGCAGCCGUCUGAACGGUCACCCAGGAAGAUAUCACUCUGUUUGCCUGACAGCACCCAGUCCUCAUAUAGAGACAGA